UACGAAGGGGGCUAGCGUUGCUCGGAAUUACUGGGCGUAAAGCGCACGUAGGCGGCUCUUUAAGUCGGGGGUGAAAUCCUGGAGCUCAACUCCAGAACUGCCUUCGAUACUGAAGAGCUCGAGUCCGGGAGAGGUGAGUGGAACUGCGAGUGUAGAGGUGAAAUUCGUAGAUAUUCGCAAGAACACCAGGUGGCGAAGGCGGCUCACUGGCCCGGUACUGAC
rnacentral:rRNA from 1 species